rnacentral:rRNA from 1 species
UACGGGGGGGGCAAGCGUUGUUCGGAAUUACUGGGCGUAAAGGGCUCGUAGGCGGCCAACUAAGUCAGACGUGAAAUCCCUCGGCUUAACCGGGGAACUGCGUCUGAUACUGGAUGGCUUGGAUUUGGGAGAGGGAUGCGGAAUUCCAGGUGUAGCGGUGAAAUGCGUAGAUAUCGGUAGGAACACCAGUGGCGAAGGCGGUCUCCUGGGGCAUUCUUGACGCUGAGGCGCGAAAGCUGGGGGAGCAAACGGG